rnacentral:lncRNA from 1 species
UCAGGGUCCCUUUCCAAGAGACCAACCCUCUCUACAGUCAGUCUGAUUCUUCCAAUAACAAUGAACAUGAUCAAGAUAAUUCUUCACAGUGAUGCCUGGAGUUCCAUCACCAAAAAGGACCACAAUUUGGAAAUAAUCAUUUGAUACAUGGCCUUAUAGGGGACAUUACAGAACAAAACCACGUCGGGACGUAGCAGAUGAGCAGCUGAAGAAGCAAGUUAUCAUUCUGACUCAAAGUUAUCAUUAUGGUCCUUGCUAUCAAGAGAAGGGAAAGUUGUUGCUACAGAUGGAUACAAGGAAGAUUGUCUAGCAUUCAUGGAAUUUUGUCAGAUUCCCUUCGAGUGAAGAGAAGCUCUACCUGACCAGGGCACAGUAAUAUUGUUUACGGAACAAUGGAAUGCCUACCUGGAAGUACUAGCUGGAGGUCACCACCCUGGAUGCUUUUAAUUUGCACCUGGCUUACUUCUGACAAGUGUACUCCAGGCCAAGAACAGCACAGAACAUGUGGCUUAUGCACUUGGUUGAUGCCCUUGACUCAUGAAGGGAUCCAUCUGAACACUUAAGAGAAUUUUUACUUUGUGGAAUA